rnacentral:rRNA from 1 species
AUUGAACGCUGGCGGCAGGCCUAACACAUGCAAGUCGAGCGGUAGAGAGGAGCUUGCUUCUCUUGAGAGCGGCGGACGGGUGAGUAAUGCCUAGGAAUCUGCCUGAUAGUGGGGGAUAACGUCCGGAAACGGACGCUAAUACCGCAUACGUCCUACGGGAGAAAGUGGGGGCUCUUCGGACCUCACGCUAUCAGAUGAGCCUAGGUCGGAUUAGCUAGUUGGUGGGGUAAAGGCUCACCAAGGCGACGAUCCGUAACUGGUCUGAGAGGAUGAUCAGUCACACUGGAACUGAGACACGGUCCAGACUCCUACGGGAGGCAGCAGUGGGGAAUAUUGGACAAUGGGCGAAAGCCUGAUCCAGCCAUGCCGCGUGUGUGAAGAAGGUCUUCGGAUUGUAAAGCACUUUAAGUUGGGAGGAAGGGUCGUUACCUAAUACGUGACGAUUUUGACGUUACCGACAGAAUAAGCACCGGCUAACUCUGUGCCAGCCGCCGCGGUAA